GCAAACACAGAAUCUCACAGCUGCACAGAAGAUCUGACUUCAGAGCCACGUAAUAUUUAACUCAUAUACAUUUGUGAUUGUAAUAUUUCUCACUUGUGUUGUUGAAAACAUGGAUCUUGCUUUUCUUCCACAUGUGAAACACGUCUGUGUUGAAUCCACAGCUGAAGUGUUAAAUCACGAUGAUGUGCCUGAAUAACUUCUCAUAAAACCGCAAAAUGUUGUUUUUUAUGAUGAAACCAAAGAACCAUAAAAUGUUAAUUAGUUAACUUUUUAAAAUUUUUGAUUGAUUGAUACAAUCAUUAUUGUGUCGUGCACAAAUAAUUUUCCCAGUCUGAAGAUGUUAUGAUCAGAGGAGAGGACAAACACAGAAACCGUCCUGACGUUUGUUCCGGACUUUAGAGUCAUGAGAGUUAAACAGCCGUCCCGUCGUUCUGGAAUCGUCCGUGCCACAAAAUGUUUCUGGAUGUUGAACAUUUCACUCAAGGCAUUAACUCUGAACUCGUCAUGAUACAGAAGGAAAUGUGAUUCAUUGUCAACAUUUCCUAAUUCACAUAAUUCACACAGGCUGUUGUCCUCCUGGCUAUUUUUAAAUGUUCCCUCUUGAGGGUUGAGAGGAAAGAUUCCUUUUCUCAGCUGUGUACCAGAAACCUUCAACCUCUGUAUAAGUUGGCCAUAAAAUCCUCUUCAGGACCAUCCGAAGGUUUAAUUUGAAUAUAUGUCAGUAACUUUGGUUGGUUUGGUUUCAGUAACAUGUCAUUCAACCAUUUUUCUUCAACGCUCCUCCGAUUAUGCUCAUGUUACAAAAUAAACUGUUAGGAUCCAGAUAUUGUACCUCAGCCUGAGACUGUGGAGACGGUGUCUGUGUUCGGACUUUGUCACACGUUUUGUGUCUUUGUGCGUCUUCGUGUCUUCUCAGGAACAACCAGUACCAGGAGAGGAAGCUGGCAGACGACACUCCACCUUUACCUCCUCGCACACAGUUUCUCACUGCAGAGGCCCAAAGUUAUGAGAACCUGGCUGAGGUACCCGACAGCGAGGAGAGUACGCCUGACUACGAACAGGUGAAGGACGACUUCAGACAGGAUGUGGGCGACUACGAGCAGGCUACGCCCGACUACGAGCAGGCUACGCCCGACUACGAGCAGGCUACGCCCGACUACGAGCAGGCUACGCCCGACUACGAGCAGGACGUAGGCGACUACGAGCAGGCUACGCCCGACUACGAGCAGGACGUAGGCGACUACGAGCAGGCUACGCCCGACUACGAGCAGGCUACGCCCGACUACGAGCAGGCUACGCCCGACUAUGAGCAGGACGUGGCAGACUAUGUGAAGGUGGAGGAGGAGGAAAAGAUUGUCCCUCCUCCUCCACUGUACCAGGAUCCUGAUCCAGCAGCAGACAACACCUCAGAGGACUACGACGACAUCGAUGAGCUCGGAGAUGAAGAUGAAGGCCAGGAUGAAGAUGAAGACUACGAUGAUGUGGGAUAAGAGCAGCAGAGACAUGAAGGGAACUUUACCACUGAUUCACUUCAGACUUUUAUAUUCAUGAGGCAGAAUACAGCAGAUGAUGGUCUGUUUCAUGAGAACAGCAGCUGGAAGAAGAGGACAGACAGCAGCAGUGACGAGGAAGGUUUGAUCUUCAUCAUAAUAACUACAGAGUUCACAGUCUGAACGUGACGAGGUCGGACCGAACAACCAACCAGCUGUUAUUUGACUCAUUAUAACUGAUCAGACAGCAGCGGUGGUCUUUCAGAAUAAAAUUAUUCUUUGAUUGUUUUUAAUUUAAAACUUGAUUUGUUUAUCUGCAUUUAAUAUAAAAGUGAAAUCCUUACAUACUUUGAUCUUCACACAGAGAUUAAUUAUACUGUUCUGUAUGUGUUGAUAUGAAGCUGCUGAGUCAGGAGCUGAUUAGCUUAGCUUUGCAUAAAGACUUGAAGCAGGGGGAAACUGCUAGCCUGGCUCCAUCCACCACUUGUUGUCUUAUUUGUUUAUUCCAUACACAAACAGAAAUAUAAAAGCUGAUUUUUUUAAACUUUGAAAUUCAUAUAUUUUUAGUAUUUUUUGAAUAUUUCAAAAUAUUGUUUAUCUUAUUGUCAUCAGGUCACAUGACUGAACUAUUAAACCAUGAGUGAGCCUCUCUGACAAGUUGCUUCUCUUUCAUCUGUGCACUUUGAUUCACAGGCUGUCACCUCAGCAACAGUGUGCGUUCAUCCGCGGCUGAAAGUAGUCCCCUGCCAAACGCAGCGUUACCUCCUCUUUCAGUAAAAACACCAUUUCAGCUGAUUGUCACAAGACGUUUAUAGGAAUUUUAUUUUAUUUUUAUGACACAGUUUUAAAGAUUUACAUGAGAGGCACAGACAGGGAGGGAAGUGACAGAGUGAUGCAUCAUGGGAACAAUAUGGAAUAUCACUGAGGCUGCUGAAGAUCUGUCUUUAACAUUUCAGAUGUCUGAAGGCCUCCUGCAGGUCGCUGUGAGUCUGUAGGCAAUUAACUUUAUUUACAUCAAUUAAUACAUAAAAAACAAUAUGCAACUCCAUAAAUGUUAAAUCUGAAGAUAAAAGUAGCAAUAGUAAAAACAAUGUGCCAUCUCUAAAAUGAUUAAAAAAUGUUUUAAGUAUUUUUUUGGCCUUUCAUGGCUUUAUUGAUAGUACAGCUGAAGAGGGUGACAGGGAACAGGGGGAGAGAGCGGAGGAGUGACACGCAGCAAAGGGACCCGGGCCAGGAGCCGAACCCAGGUCCACUGCAGAGCCUCGGCACAUGGGACGCUGCUCUACCAACUGAGCUGAACGGCGCCCCUUAACAUUUUUAAAAGUGUAAUUUUUGGAGCUCUCUGUUUUUCUACCCUCAGUUGAUGACAUGUUCUCCUCUCCUCUUGGAUUAGUGUUAGGGUACUGUUACUGUUUCGUCUUCAACCUCUUUUGUUUCCUUCAGUUUCUUCAGAUUAUUUUCAUUUUCUCAGCAGUUGUUGAGUCUGUUGAAGACCUCAUCAGAGCUGUUUGUGUAUUAAAGAUGAUUAAUGACGACAUUGUCUCAGUUUAUUGCACAGAUCACAUUUGGAAAGACACUUAAAUAAAAAGGUUGGUUGGUUAGAAAGUCGCAGCAUGUGUUCAUGACUGACUCCAGAGUUAAAGAAUGAGCUCGUUGUCCACUGAAACCAGACUUUCAGCAUCUUUCCACUGUUUGGCAGAAAUAUUGAGGAAAAGUCAGCAGAAGAGCUGAUGUGGUUCAGCUACAGUCAGAAAACCAAACUGACUUCAUUUCCUCAUCAUGUCUGACGCAUUUACACUCAAAGACGUGUAACAAAACCAGAUCAGACUCACACCGCUGCUGAAGUUCUGCACUCAUACCGCAGCAACAGUAACAGUAUCUAUCGUUUGUCCUGCUGCAUGAAAGUCAGAGCGGCAUGUUCCUGUUGGAGCCACUCAUAUGGAGGCACAUCAUAUACAGGUAGUCCACUGGUUCAGAACAUACGGGUCAGGCCCCCCCACGGGGUCAACAGAUCAAUCUGAGGGGUCGUCACAUGAUUCAUGGGAGAGGAGAGGAGGGCAGAAAGUUCUGACCCACAACAUCUGAUCUUUGACUUUCAGUGAAAUAUUUCAUUCUUUGAGCCUCAAACACUAUUUUGAUAAAAUUUGGAAGGAAUGUUCAUCUUUUAAAACUGCAGACCACCGUUUUGAUCCUGAACAAUGUGCAUUCAGUCAUCUUAACUCAUCUCUGUUCAGACUUUAAUAAAUGCAGUGGAGUAACUUAGAAGUAUAAAGUAACACAAAUGGAAAUACACGAGGAAAGUGUACUUGAUUAAAUUAUGACUUUGUUCUGUCCUUAAUAGUUUUCUUUGGUUUGUCAGUUUCAAUUAAACUUAAUUUACAAAUGUGAAUACAGUUUUCUUUCACUGGAUUGUUUUUGAAUGGACUAUAGUCAUUUGAACAGAAGGUCUUCAUCCAUCCAUCACCCAUUUCCUUAGGGUUUAUCACACGGGUUGUUGCAGCGCCCCCUGGUGGCAGCACAGUCCUCUGUCAGCGGGUCUGUGUCAGGUCGGUCACACUCGGUCCAGAUGUCAGAGUGCAGACGGGACAAACGUGUACGAACAGUCAUGUGUAGUGUUUGUGGCUCCUGAGCAGACGCCGCUGUGACCUACAUACACGUCCUACUGCUC
ensembl:lncRNA